rnacentral:rRNA from 1 species
UACAGAGGGUGCAAACGUUGCUCGGAAUCAUUGGGCGUAAAGGGUGCGUAGGCGGCGAGGCAAGUCUGGUGUGAAAUCCCGGGGCUCAACCCCGGAACUGCACUGGAUACUGCUUUGCUAGAGUACUGGAGAGGGAACUGGAAUUUACGGUGUAGCAGUGAAAUGCGUAGAUAUCGUAAGGAAGACCAGCGGCGAAGGCGAGUUCCUGGACAGUUACUGACGCUGAGGCACGAAGGCCAGGGGAGCAAACGGG